UCUGCUCAAUGAUUUUUUAAAUUGCUGUGGUAUUUUGACUAUGCGAAGGUAUUGAAAUAAGGCUUUAAAUGAGUGCUAAGAGAAUGGUUUAACAAUUUUAAGCUUUCUUUAAUUAAAAAAUUGAAUUUAAUUUUUUUUGUGAAGAAGCAAAAAUUUAAAUUAGGGACAAGAAGACCCUAUGAAUUUUGAAUUAAACAAUAUAAUUUGUAUAGGUUUAUUUUGUUUAAAUUAAUUGGGGUGAUUUGGAAAGAAUAUGUAUCUUUUUAAGAAAAUUAACUUGUUCCGUUUUUAACGAUUUUAUGAAAAAAAUACUCUAGGGAUAACAGCGUAAUAAUUUUGGAUAGUUCAUAUAGAUAAAAUAGUUUGCGACCUCGAUGUUGGAUUAGGAUUCUUUUUUAGUGAAGAAAUUAAAGAGAAGAAGUUUGUUCAACUUUUAAAUUCCUACUUGAUCUGAGUUCAGACCGGA
rnacentral:rRNA from 1 species